rnacentral:rRNA from 1 species
CCUACGGGAGGCAGCAGUGAGGAAUAUUGGUCAAUGGACGAGAGUCUGAACCAGCCAAGUAGCGUGAAGGAUGACUGCCCUAUGGGUUGUAAACUUCUUUUAUAUGGGAAUAAAACGUUCCACGUGUGGGAUUUUGUAUGUACCCUAUGAAUAAGGAUCGGCUAACUCCGUGCCAGCAGCCGCGGUAAUACGGAGGAUCCGAUCGUUAUCCGGAUUUAUUGGGUUUAAAGGGAGCGUAGGUGGAUUGUUAAGUCAGUUGUGAAAGUUUGCGGCUCAACCGUAAAAUUGCAGUUGAAACUGGCAGUCUUGAGUACAGUAGAGGUGGGCGGAAUUCGUGGUGUAGCGGUGAAAUGCUUAGAUAUCACGAAGAACUCCGAUUGCGAAGGCAGUUCACUGGACUGCAACUGACACUGAGGCUCGAAAGUGUGGGUAUCAAACAGGAUUAGAUACCCCAGUAGUC